rnacentral:lncRNA from 1 species
CCAAGGCCGGAAAGGAUGCGCACACACCUUGGGAAGUGCAAUCCUAACAAGUUCUGCCUCUACCAUCGUGACCACGGCCACGACAUAAAGGACUGCAUUCAACUUCGAGAUGAGAUCGAGGAGCUCAUCAGACGAGGUCGGCUCGAUAGGUUCAUUCGAUGCCGGCCUGAGGGUAGAGAGGAUCGGCCAAGGGCCCUGUCACAAUCUGAGCUGUC